ensembl:snRNA U6 U6 spliceosomal RNA
GUGCUUACUUUGGCAGCUCGUAUACUAAAAUAGUAAUGAUACAGAGAAGAUUAGCAUAGCCCCUGCACAAGAAUGACACAAAUUUAUGUAAUGUUCCAUAUUAAA